UGCCACCUGGUGCUUACCACAGGCUGUGUUCUUACACUGACUGUAUAGAAAGAUGAGGCAGAGUAAACCCACCCCAUCUACACUUCAGCCCUGGCCCUUUGCCUGGUCUGUAUUGUAAAUGGGGGGACUUGA